rnacentral:lncRNA from 1 species
GAGGGCAGUACUCGUCUUCCGAAGCAGCGUGCGUCUCGCUCUCUUCGUUUGUCCAGGCAACACGUUGGCAGCAACAAGGGAGCCGGACAACGACCAGGUGAGACUCAUGGCAGUCUGAAUCAAGAGUGGGGGGUUGGCUAGAGGGGGGACCGUAUUGAAGGAACACCUUGUGCUGGUAGACAGGCAGCAAUAAAAAUAGGGAUAACAAACGGCAAGCAUAGUAAUAUUAGUCUGUUCUCCCCGAGAGAAAACUACUCAAUUCCAACCACUUUGUACAAAGCGCAUUGAAAGUGAAGCUCAGAUACCUCUCAUGUUUUAUCUCCGCUUCUCUCUCUGUCUCUCUUUCUCGUGGUCAAGGUGUUAUGAUGUGAUGAUGGGGACGCAGCGUCAGAGUGGUCGACUGACAUACAAGAUAUCAACAGGUAUGUGAGCCCGUCCAUCCAACUCCAGUUCAGUUUCACAAAUAGGUGGGCAGCCACUCUUCUGAACAAAGUAAGUCUCAGCGUCGUAAGAUCUCCGUGCAGCCAGGCACUUAAGACUGGCGUUGACCCCCAAAGGCUACUUACCGGGGUUUUUAUGUCAGCAUAACGAGAUUUUUGACAUUUUCAGUUUUAACUUUAAUUUGAACCCGGUCCCGCAAUGUCGCCCGCUCCGGAUCUUAAUGCUUCAUGGGGUCAAAUGACAACAACUCAAUGUUGAGCCUGCCGAGUGAAUCAAUAUCCGACUGGUCUCCUGUAGGCUAGACCAGUAGAUUAUAGAGAAAUAAUGCGUGGCUCAUUUCCUCCCCAAAUAGUGUUCAAUAUAAGAAACAAUAGCCGCUGAGAAGCUUUCAUGGAAAUGAUGAUAGGUUGCAACCCCCAAAAUUUCGCUCAUAGUCAUCUUUUGUGUUGUUGCUCUGAAAAAAGACUGGUAGUCAAAGGUUAUAAUUGAUGUGUUAAACAUAGGAAGAAAACUGGUUUCAGCACCACAGCAGCAGACAGCUCCGCAGCUCUGGACUGAAGCCCCCAAACAAGGAAAUAAAAAGAGGUAGUGAGAGUAGUGAUACCAACCCAUUCCCAAACACUUGGACAGGGCACACACACACACACACACACACACACACACACACACACACACACACACACACACACACACACACACACACACACACACACACACACACACACACACACAGGGCUGAUGUUACGCUGACUACUCUAAAGCUGAUGGAGCCUUUAAAAAAAAGUCCAUCACUGUUUCAAUUAUGCCGAAACACUCUUGAAGAAAAGCUAAUGGAGUCUUCUGGUAACAGCAUGGCAAGUGUGAAGGCCAAGAUGUAUUAUGCAUAUUAUUCAUUUUUGUCAAAGUACCAAAUCAUUCUGGGUGAAUCGCCUUGGGAUGUGUCAGAGACAGGCAGUCUCCUUCUGGCAGGGUCUGAGGUGUCAAAGUGGAAUCUGGAGUGCAGCCAGAAUUUCCACUGAAUGAGCCUGGCUGGUAAGGGAAGGGGGGGGGGUUAUGUGAUCUGAGGCUCACAUGGCUACACCCACAUGUACAUAUCCAAACACAUACACAUGCACACACCAAAUGGUGUGACACAGCACAUGCAAUCUGUGGCCAUGAGAGAAAUUCAGUGCUAGCAGGUGUUCAAACAGGCCGCUCAGUACAUUCUUCCAAUUAUUGCAAUUAGAUGCUGCCUGGUUACCACUCCAUAAUGUACAACUGUGAUGAAGGUGCGCUGAUAUGAACAAGUGUUUGUGUGAGGCAGAGGAGGGGGAAGGAUGACACUGAGACAACACUAGAGGGAAAAGAGCAAGGAAGCGGAGCCCCUCAGUGAAUCUGUGACAAUAUGGAAACAGUUGCUGUCUGUUGAGAAUGAUAUAUAUUAUACAAAGUAAACAUUUUGUGAGGGCAUGAUCCCCUUUUUAACCCUGUGUCAUUAACAGCUUGAGCAGAUUGUCUAGAAACAGUGAGCUUUGUCCCUCAGUCAUAUACCACAAAAGUAGAUUUCAUUAAAAAAGAAAAAAGGGGUCUUUGAUACUGUAGGGAGGUUGCUGCAUUUAAGAUAAACAAGUGCUAAGUAUUAGUUUUGUAUUACUUAGGAAGUGACGUGCAACUAAGACAGAAAACGCUGACAUUUGAUAGGUUAGAACUCCCACAUGCCUAGCAUUUCUCGAUUGAUAAUGACUUGAAUGUUUCUUACCGUUAAAUAGAUUACGGAAAAAGUUUUCUGUUACCUUGAGCUAAAGGCACAAAAUAUAGUACAAAAAUAUUUUUGUCUUCAGUGCAACCUCAACCCCCCCGUUUGACAAAGCAUGUGCAUUUGUCAAACAGGAGGAGUAAGUGAUGAGACUAAAUGUAGUUUUAGUAAAGCUAUUCUUUAGUUAAUGUAAAGACAUUAAAAAACCUACCAAAACUAGAAACACAAGAAAGCAGAUAAUAAAAGAAAAGAGUGUGUGAUAGAAGGCACAUGUAAUCCAUCAUUAUGAGGGAACAUCUUGAUUUGAUGUCUGAUUGAGCUGUCAUGUGUUACAAGGAGUCGAGGGCAAUCAGUGACCGUGGUCUUCUUAUCAGAAGGCAAGGACAAGAAAGAAAGAAAGACAGAUAACAGGGUGCCAUAAAGUGGGACAGCAAAGACUGACAUCCGAGCAUGUGUGUUUAAGUGUGUGUCCACAGGUGAGGGUGCGUGGGUCAUAUUAAGCAGGAAAUGUUUGUGGCAGCUGUCGGCCUUGUUUGAACAGCAAUCACAAUCAGCCACCGCAGCAGCCAAGCGUGUGCUUGUGACAGUGCUGGUGGGAGACUCUGCCUUCAUGCCCCUGCUUUUCAGCGUACACCUGCUUAUCCUCCUCUUCCUCCUUCUCCCUCACCCUCUGUUCCUCUUUGACCUCCCCUUACUGCUUUGCACUACUUCUGCCUUUUUCACCUUAAACUGAAGUGAUUGACAUUGCAACAGCUCCACCAUUUUCUUGACCGACACUGAAAUGUGAUGGAUUAGUGUAAUAUUUGAAAAAGACUUGUCCGUCUGCCCGGCUGAGGGUCUUUGCUGGAAAGCUGAAAAAAAAAAAAUUCUAUUCCUCUUUUUUUUUUCUUUACUUAAGCAACAAAACAUUUUCACCUCAUAAUGUUUUCAUCAUCAUAACUUUGUAUUAAAAUACAAAUGAGAAUAUGCACCACGAGCCUGGGAAUAAAGGGAUGACAAGACAACGGUAUUAGGAUGCAGGCUUCAAUUGAAACAAGGACUGCUUUUGUCUCUUUUUUUUUUUUAACAAUAUUUCUAGGUUUGUCCUUUCCUAUUCUACAAAAAUAUCUUUUGGCAUGCAGCUUUACUCAGUUUUUAUGUUCACAUGACUAUAAAAUGUUCCUGAUACCAACAGGAUCCUGAAGGUAGUAUUAGGAUGUUGAGGCUGUACUGCUUCAUAGCCUCUGUAAAUUGUCACCUAAAAGCCAAAUACUAUUUGUUAGCAAUGUUUUAUCUUAAUUUUUUGAUCAUGAGUCUUUUUAAAACACAUUCCUUAAACCUAGAAAGUUGAUUUUUUUCUUUAAUCUGAGAUAAUAUAAACACAUUAUAUCACUGUGUUCGUAAAUGUGUUUUCAUUCUACUACUAAACACUCACAGCUAGACUAGCUGCAAUUUUUAACACAGUUGUUAAUGUUAAAACAUGAUAAAAAUGUUAAAACACUGAAUUAGUGUAUCUGAAGAGACAACGGUAACACUGUAUGUCAAAUUGACCACAUGCCAAAGUAAUAUUCUCAUCUUUAAUGUGGUUUUAAUCCAAAAGAGCCCCAUUAGAGAAUGAAAACAUGUGCAAUGUUUUGUCAUUUCUUAAACUUUUUCCCCUCCUCUACUCUUUUACCUUUUUUCUCGUCAACACCAUGUUUACACGGACAACCUUAUCCUCAUCCUUCCCCCUUCUCACUUUACCUCGUUUAAUUUGUUCUUCUUGCUCCUCUACAUCUCCUUGGCGUAAUCCAUUGUUAGAGGUGGCCUUUUCAUUUAUUGGAGGAGGUGGGAAAGAGAAGAGAUGGAGAAGUGAGGGAGGAGGUGAUGGGGUUGGGUUGUCACUUGAGGACGCUUGAGGAUGGGUUGAAAAACACUGGUGGGCGGGGUUAUGGGUCCUCUAAAGCAACAGGCUUAUCAUGGUUUAUGAAGUAGAUUGAUAAGUGACAGGAGCAGAACUUGAUGUAUUCAGCCUUUAUUUUAGCAGAGAUCAGCUCUGUGAAGGUGAUAUGGCUCAUAUUGUUUUCUUUUUUGUCAUUGACUUACAUUAGACAAACUUCCAGGCUUUGUUGAUCAGCUCGUAGCGACAUGGUUAAAUCUCCUCUGCUAGUCUGAUGUUGGAGCAUAUUUUCUGUUGUUCUGUUAUUCUGCUGACUGUGAGUCAUGAUGGGUUAGUUGAAUAAAUGAUGAUGCUGUCUUUCCUUUGACGGGGUCUAACAUCUGAGCUGUCAGGCUCACUCCUUCACAAUUUUGAGAAAGUAUUCAUUUCAAUGGCGCUGACAAAGGACCAACAGGAUUAAGGAAAAUACAGAUUAGUGCAAAAAAAGCAUCAUGCUUGAAAACUGGAAGUUCAAAGAGAAAAUCUGCAUCUAUCACAUGUGCCUUUGCUCAGUCCUUCAAUUGAACGGUAUGAACAACUGGCAGCUUAUAAGUGGAGUACAUUUGAGUCAAUGAAAUCCCUUCAAAGCUGCAAGACAUUACUCUGAACUUAAAACCUUGUUUUUCAGUUCAGUUGAUAUUUCUCAUGGUGGAUUGAUUUCUUUAGAGACUACGUGUCAGUAAAUAAUAUCAAACACUGCUUAAAGAAGUCAUUGAAGACAGUCAUUCAGAAUGACAGCAGGUACUUUCAGGAUAACAAUAAUUAAAGACCUGCUGAUAAGCUGGUCAGGGACAGGCUGUGAAACCCUUACGGGCUAAUUACCUUGCAUUAUAGAUACAGAACAACUGUAGUUGAGCUAAUUAGUAUAUGCUUCUUUAAUACAAUGUUUUUACUGAAGAGCAUUGUUGUUAUCUUCACAAAGGGCAGAUGUACAGAUAUAUGACAUUGCCAUGACAUAUGGCAAAUUGUUGUAAUAUAAACACUACUGCUUUUUUUUGUUUGUUUGUUUGUUUGUUUGUUUGUUUGUUUGUUUGUUUGUUUGUUUGCUUGUUUCUGGUCUACAUUUCAAUCCAGGAAAUUCUUCAUACCACACAUGACAAUAUGUCUACAAAUACUACCUAACAGAGCAGUUUUAAAUACUCUGAUUGCUAUCAAUUUAUCAGGAUUGUGGAGCCUGCUGCAUUGUUGGUGUAUAACUGCAUUGACUGUCAAUUUUAUGAAGCCCUUAAAUCUAUGAAAAUCUAAGAUUGUUAUUUGUAUGCCAGUUUUUGUUUGAAAUAAAUAAAUAAAUCAUAAUGAUAAUAAUAAUAAUAAUAAUAAAUGGACUAACAAUUCAUUUUUUCCCUCCAAGGCUGAUGGAGAGUUCUUCAUCUUGAGAUCAAGCACUCCAUUGUCAACCAGCACACUGUGAGCAACCGCCAGCAUGCCAACAUCGGCUGCUUGUGUUUUGUUUGCGAUUGGGAAGUGUACAGUGAGCCUAUGUGUGCGUAUGUGUGUGUUUGUGUUGUGGUGUCUUUUCCUGAAUGGCAGACCAUUUUUGCAGAUUUGUCCUAUGUGAACUCUGUAAUAAACCUCCAUGCUGGUGUGGAAGUGGGCAUGCCAAAUUAGCUGCUUCAUUUAGUAAAAUCUUGUGGUUUUGUAUUGUUGUACACCACUGCUCAAUUUGCACCAGUGCAAAAAACUACAUUUCAGUCAUUUCGUCUGUUAAGUUUCUCAAGCUUGAUGUGUGUUACCGAAGUUUGUUGUACAUGUGUGUGUGUGUGUGUGUGUGUGUGUGUGAGUUUGUGUGCUUCCCCAUAAGGUUUCUUAUAAUCCAAGGCCACUCAAUAGCACCACAUGGCUCCAUCCCAUAUCCAGGUUGCCAUGGCUACCAGAGCCACUUAUCACAGAGGGUCCCAGCAGAUCAAACAGGUGUGCAUCCUGACAAUGUCGCUCCUCUACUGCUGUUGCUAGGAACCCUUGUUGCACAGCACUUACAGGUGCUUGUUGCCGACAGAGAAAAAGACAGGUUGGGAUGCAUAACCGCUGUCCUGAUGAUCUGGUCUCAACUUUUGAUGCUUUUCAACCACAGAAAUUAGGGUCUGAAUUUAGUUCUGGAGCAGAAUUACCCCUUGAAAAUCCCCUGCUGAGGGGCUAGUACUUUUUUAUGGCCAAUAGACUUUGGGAGGCAGGAUUGAAUGAUCUCAUUUAUAUCAAAAUAACAGGUUAAUUAUUUCGAUAAAAAAUGUUAGUAGCAAGACAUACACAAAUCCUGAUUACAUCUAAUCAGCAAAACUAUGUUUUUAGUUUUACUGAUUACCCUGAUGUUCAGGCCCCCUGGUGGAAACACAGACAACAGUAGACAGCAGGAACCAUUAAGUUCCUGUAUGAGAAGCCCCUGGAACAAAAAGUUUCAGGUGCUUUUGGUCAAAAAGCACCUUGUGUAAAUUUUUAAUAACUGUGUGUGCGUGCGUGUGUGUGGUGUAAUUUUUGCCCUUGUGAGAAACAACAAUACUCUUCAGUACCUCUAAAGUAGGAUGAUAUUUGUUGUAAUGAUUGGGAUUUUUAGAUGGGAUUGGUGUUUGUUUCAGAGGUUUAGAGAAAAGGUGGUGUGAGAGUCUUUUUUUCCCUACAUAACAUGGCUACUCUGGAUUCUUAGGGCAUUUAGUGCCUGUCAGAGAUGCAGUGCAGGGUGGUGCAUCCUGCACUGUACUUUUUAAGUGCAGUGCAGCCUGGUGCACAGCCAAUUUGGUAUUUUUGUAGACUGAGGUGCACUGAGGCGCCCAAAGCUGGGCAUGGCGGCAGUAGAGAAAGGUGUUGAUGGAAUCAGCUGGCGCAGUGACAUUUUUUUGACCUGUCGCCAGCGAGGCAAGAAAACAGAGCCCUUAGUGUUGUAGUCCACAAAGGCCAGAGGCCAGGAUGUGGUGUCUCCUUGUCCUUUGCCCAAGAAAAGUUUAAAAAUAACCAGAUCCUCAGGUGUCUGCCUCCUACUUGACACUCCUCACAUUUCUACUUCCUUCUGAAGAUUCAUUUAAGAUGGUUAAGAAAGAACCGGUGGAAAUGCUCGAGACCAAGCUGGAGAAGAAUAGAUUUUUUUAAAUUGUAAGCCCUGUAAGAGUUCUUUCACUGGCAGACUCUGCCUGUUCACCAAUCCUCCCAAACCAUUUCUCUACCUAAUGCUGUCGAUAGCACCACCAUCCUUCUCUUUCACCUCUUAAUCUGCUGUUAACCACAGCACCUUUCUUCUCCAUCACCUUACCUUGCCCCACAUGUAGCUUGGUCUCCUGCCUACCUCUCUAUUGCAAACUUAAGAACUAUAUAUAUAGAGAGUUUUACUAGUGUAGCCAAACAGAUUGGCACGAAGAAAAGAGGACCUAAUGGUGUUACAAAAAUAUAUAAAAGAAAAACAAGGAAUGAGGCAGAAGUAAGACACCAAAUUAAAGGAAAAGAGUCUUUUGACCAUAAGAUCUUGAAUAGAAAAGAAAAUACAAGACAAAUCGAACAAAAUCAUGAUCAAAAGAACAGAACAAAACAAGAAAACAAAGACGAAACAAAAAUAAAAGAACACAACACAUUAUGGUUGAGUCCUGCCAUAUACUGUACAUUGCAUAGAAAUGAUUUAAGGAGGAGCAUGUACAGAAUGUGGAUACAAGGAUGCAGCAAACACCAUGAUUCUUACAGUUAGGUCUUGUCUAGCAACAUUCAAAUCUAAAGCCAAUGUUUACCUUUACCUGAGCCAUCUCCAUAAGUAUAAAACACACGUAUCCUCAAGGCCAGCAUAUCCAAAAGGAGUUGUGGCUUCUUUCUGUGUGUGAGCAGUGUUCUCCUAAAGCUAAUAACCAAUUUACAAAAUAAUUAAUAUCAUCAGAGCUGGUCUUGUCCAGUCCACAAGUGUCCUCCACAGAUCACUAUUGACACCUAAGUUGCAGCCCAGGCUGUUCCUUCACACAGACAGGGGAACGGCAAUGUGUUUUCAGAACAGUUACACCUGCAGCUGAUCUAAUUUUGCACUUCUCGACUGGAGUUUUAUCAGGUUGUAGUCUGCAGCUUGUAGUUAAAUGAGACUAAAUGAAAUCUUUUAAAAAAGACUCUCUCUCUGUCAUUCAUCGUCCACUGCACUGAUUUCAUUCUCCAUGGUCUCCACUUCUCCAUGGUCUCCCUUCACCCUUGCCGUAUGUGCCUCAAUGUGGCUUUAAUCCCAAUAUAGCACCUUUUCCCUUUUUCUCGCAACCUUUCCCCCAUUCCUCACACCUUUCUAACACCAUUUGCCUCACCUUUCCCCCUUAACAUGACCACCCCCCACCCCCCGCCUCUGUUUUUUCCACAUACUCUCCCCAACUCUCCACAUCUCUGUCUCCCCUUCUUUCCCCAUUACAAGCAGAAGUGGUCUAUCUGUUCUCCUUUUUCUCCCUCCCAGUGAAUCUCUUAACUGUAACUGGAGAUCAGAAGGCUCUUUGAUUCUCUUUUUUGUUUCUUGCCUAAGGGUCAAAUAUUCAUGUUCUUUAAGACAGUUAAUAUGCUGGUUUAUCAAAUACAUAUAUCUGACUUUUUAGAGACAAUGAGAGGGAAUUUGGCCACCACACUGAAAGUCCAGACCACGGAACCAUUGUUUUUUAACAUCAGUAUUGAAGCCUUAUUACAACCAUAAAAACAAGUCUGAUUGAGGGCAUUGUAGGUGCCUUUGUUUUAUCUAGGCCCUAACUUUAACUUAAUAUGUCAUAGGCUUCAAAACAGGUUGUUGUGACGUCUCUUCAUUAUGGCUCUAACGAGAUUAGCCAGAAUGCAAGUGACAUUUAGCCCCUUUUGAAUUCAUUUACUGCUUUGCACCAAUGCAACGGUUGAAACAAAUGUGCAAUAUGUUCAGCAAAAUCAAAACAGAGCAAUUUUAUAUCCUGACAAUCUACAAUGGGAUCACAAUAUGACUUUGGUCAUCUUUGACUGAAAGCUUUUAUCUGUCUAAAAGCUUGCAAAAGCAGACUCACUUUGUCUGUCUGCUGUAGGUUUUUUCUCAAAGGGAGAGUUAAGCUCUAAAAUCUUAGUGCCUGGGUUUGUUAAACCAAAUGAAGUUUAUAAACUAAAUUUGAUAGUGAAAACUCUUUUUACAGAUGAUUUAAUCCUGCUAAAGUCAGAAGGCAGAAAGUGUUGUCUCUAAAGUCUCUUUCUCAGACAACUGAUUUUCCUCUUUAAACCUUCUUUCCUCAAUUUUGAUGUUACUGUAAUCACAACAUCAAAGCAGGCAAUUUCAAACACACUUUCAUCGUUUUCGACUACAACUUAAAACCGUCUGUAUGUGAGGACGUUCCACAAUAGGCAAACUAUGGCCUGCACUGAUGAAACUUCAGGGACAAUAGGAUUUUCUUUUUUGUCUAUUUAAUAAGGUUAAUCAAUUUGUGUCCCAAUUUGGAGCCUGUUUUCCAAAAUAGAAAGAGAUAUUAAUUAUUGUCGUACCUAUUUAAGUAAGCCUGUGGCCAAAAAAAAAAUGCAUAAUUGGUAGGCCUUUUAAUUUAACAUUUAUUUGUUGAAAUGUACUGUGGCAAUUUUGAUACCAAUAUAAAUUGUCUUGAAAAUUACAAAUCAUAAUGAUGCUGGUGGCCAGAGGACAGAGAAAUCUGUUCUGUCACAGUACGAAUAAUGAAAAUGUGUCAUCUUGGAUGAGGAUUGCAGACGCACACUGCUCUUCAGAGAAUUCCAUUUUCUACUUCUCUGACAGACGUGGAGGGGGAGCAGAACACAUGUACCUCCCCCUCACAUACACCAAUUACUGCAAUGAGCAAAUGAAAGGUUGGGUCCCAUCAGGGCCACCAUAGGGGGUAGACAGAGAGAGGGAAAUGCUGCUAGAAGAGGGGGAGUUAAACAUAAUUGCCCCCUCCACCCAUCACCACCAGCCUCAUACAUGGACAUACAUACAUAGCAACAAUCAUCUUCUGUCGUGAUUUCUGUUGAUAAUCUCAGAAUUUCACAGCAGAUGAGCUCCUCCCGUCAUAUUUGUGCUCUUUUCCCGUGUUGCCCUUCAUUUCACGUCUCCAUAGCUCCUUCAUUCCACACAGAUUUUCCUCUCUUCUCCUCAUCAGCUGUCACAAUGCACAGUGACAUUUUUACUGCCUCACUUUGUUUUUACAAUAGUAGCAGUCAUUAAUAUGUAGAUAGUCUGUCAGGUCGAUCAGAACUAUUUGUAGCAAAAAAUACAAAAAUGUUAGCCAACGAAUCAUUGGCUGGUUCUUUAAAUUAUAAGUUAAUGUGAGAGUCCAUAUAUCAGUGAAACACAGCUAAAAUAUAUCUGUAAUGUUAAUUUUUAUCAUCUUGAGGGAAUCCUUAAUGACUGUCUGUCUUAUUUUUUAAGUACAAGAUCAGUCAUAAACUGAAGGCACUAAAAAUGAAUUUUAAGUUUCAGUCUUCCAUCAUAUUUGUAGGCGAUCUGUAUAUCGUACCUAUGUCCUAAGUAAAACCUGUCUCCAAAUCUGAAAGCCGUGAAGUCCCUUGACUGUUCUCAUUGCACUCAGCAGCAGUUUGGUUUCUUCUCAGGCUAAUUGAAGUCAACCACAGGGCACGGCUAAUGAUCAGCCUGCACUGACCCUUGAUAGUCUGUCAUCUUCCUGUCAGCACAGGGAGCUAAAAAGAGAGGUAAAAAGAAACAGAAUUUGGAGAGGAGAAUAGGGCAUGUGAAAGAAGUGGCAGCUGGGUGGGGUGUGAAAAAAGAACAAAUGACCCAGGUGAUGCAAUGAUCACCAUGCUGUGUAGGAAGUAGGCAUGACCGGCUCUGCUCACUUCCGCCCAGUGACCAUUAUCCCCCUCCCUUAGGCUCCAAAUUCACUAACACAGAAUUAAAUCGAACAGGUGGAGUGAGAGCAAGGGUGGGGGGCAGGAUUUACAGAUGAGGUGAGAGAGAGAGAGAGGGGGGGGGGGGGGGGGUAGAAAUGGAAGGAAAUAAAAAAAAGUAUUGGAAGAGAAGAGAUCGGAAAAUGGGGACGUGGCUUAGAAAAAGAAAAUAAAGAAAAGUAAGGGAAAUGGUAUUAAUAUGAAGAAUACAAGAAAUAGACAAAGAAAUUUGAGAAAAAUAGAUAAUAAAUAAAGAGUGAAUAAAUGAGCAGCAGAAACCUGCAAUGAAGGGACAAAAGAGUGAAGGGGAAGAAAGACAGUAGAAACAAAAGGAAAGGAAACAGGGAGGAUCAUAUGGAUUUGUGCAGAAUUGUCCUCAAUAAUCAAUUUAGUUUUAUUUCACUUGUGAAAUCUUAACAAAUCACUACUUUGAGCUUUGGUUUCAACAAACUAGGGGAUUUUAAAGAAACUAGUUUCAGCCAGAAAAAGGUUUGUGCAACAUGAGCGUGUAAUUUUAGACACCACCAAUUUUAGUGAAAAAGACCUUAUUUGGAAAAAAAGAAAAAGAAAGAAAGAAAGAAAGAAAAUAUUGGCAGAUUUUAGGAAAUUUACACCAAUUAUGAUGCCGAAAGUGAUCUUGAAAAUUUUCUAAAUUAAAGCAUAGAGAUUUCCAACUAAACACAAUGUUUUGCUCAAAAGUCAGCAUUCUGAAAAACAAACACAAUUAUUUUCAAUGUUGCUGUUUUUUUUUAUUUUAUUCUCAGAAAAUAGAUUUUUUUAAGGCAAAGAAAUGCAUCAAAAGAAAGUAAAGGGCUACAGUUCUCAUAUAAAGAAAUGCAUUUUAUUGUUGUUCCAUUUGUUUUUAUCAGUAUUUAAGAAUAGGCAUUAAUAUUUAAAUGACAAUGUUCCUGUCAAUAAGCUGAGAAAAUCUAGUUUUUUGAGGAAAAAAAUGUAUAUUUAUCAUUGUAAUGUAAAUGUUAUUUCAAAGCAGAAAAUUGAUGGGCUUCCUACACUUUUGUAGUAAUUUGAGAUGCUAACACUGGUUGCAUGAUUUAAGAAAACACUAUUUUGUGAAUUCAUGAUCUGCAUCAGACUGUUUGGAGGGUCUCUGUGUGCCCGUUUGAUCCUGAGGCAGCUGUGCUGUCAUACGCUUUAGGCUUGGCCUACAGUUCUGACACUUUUAACAACCUUUGUUCACUUUUCCUUUCGUUUCUGUCUGUAAACAGCUCUUCCUGUGUUUGUUCUGACCUAGUUUGGGAAAUUUAAGGAGUAUAAAACCAGCGCUUUACGCAUAGAUCCAUUUUGUGUCUCAUCCUGAUCAGACGGAGGAUGGAGACGGCAUAGUGUACGUUGUUAUACUACGAAUAAGCAAAUACAUAGCCGUGGAGCCCUCAUAAUAAAAACAUAUGGGUCUCUAUUUCUGUGUCUCGCCGGCGGCAUAAGUCAGGUCCAUUGUGUUGAUGUGCCCAUGCACACUUUGGUGAGCGCGCAACCUGACGCAAGUACACCUCUACAUUUCUGCUCUUCCCAGUGGUGCAAAGUAGGAAAGAGGGAGGGGAGAAGUCGUUAAGUGGGUUUAACACAGACGAGUCCAGUUUUCACCAAACUCAUGCUUCUCUCAUCACCUUUGAAUGCACCACUGGCAAGGUGUAUUGCAAAAUGAAACAGGCCUAGUCACAGAGAUGGCUAAGACCGCACUGCCAGAUGAUAGUGACCGGAGGCAGCCCCCAAACAAGCGUCAUCCGAAGCGCUGUGGAGGGCGUCCUCCACACUCUCAAAAAAGCACAGAGGGAUCUGGUGUGCGCAAGGUUGGACCCACUGGUAAGACAAACAUCCUUUUCCACAAAUAAAGACAAUCACAACAAGUUGCAUACAUUUGAACCUCACGUGACAAAGGUGGGUCAUGCAAACAGAUCAUAACAUAAACAAAUGCCAUGCAUAACAGCAUUAAAAUCGGAACCACCUGUGAGUAAAAGACAUCACACUUGGUGGCCUGGCUUUUUCUUCACACUAAUUUUGGUAUGUGAAAUUACCUUGGCUCACGCAGCUGAAUAUCAUAAUGUUGGCAUGUAGGCCUAACUCCAGAUUGAAUAUUUUCAGAAUUUAAGGAUGUAAAACAUUAGAUGAACUGUUUGUUUUGCAUGAAAGCUUCUUUCAUUAUUUUGUUCACAUUUUUGAAGUAAACAACUUGUUUGAUCACUACAAUAAAUCAUCUGGUCAGCCUUGGCAGCCUACCCACAGCAGCAGGACAGGGAGAGGACAUGAAGACAUGUCCGAGUCUGCCCCCAAAUGAAUUAAAUAUCUUAACUCCAUCAUAUAUGACUCUUCAUUGGAUAUUUAAUUUAAUGUGUUAAUUCGGACAGCGCCAAACACGCUUACUGGAUAAGAUAUACAUCAGAAUAUAUUGAUAGAUCUAAAUGUGUGUGCUGAGAUAUUGGCACUGAAUAUUAGUUGUUGUUGAUUAUUUAUUGCACUGAAAUGUGCCUGAAACUGUGGAAACCUGCCUGUGAGAUCUUGGUGACGUGUGCACACUGCUGCGCCGCUCUACCAAAAUACCAUCUGACCAGCUGUGCUCUGCCUACACCGAGAGCUGACUAGGUUUAAAUCAACUAGCCCACAGCGCACUCUCCGCUCCGCUGGCGGGCACAAAAAUGUCACCGCGCCAGCUGAUUCUGUCAACAAUUCCACCUACUGCGAUGCCAUGCUCAGCUUGCACAUACAACAUACAAUUGGAUACAAUGGCCAAUCAGUGCUCGAAUUGCUACGACCAUUUUGUCCGGCAGCUACCAGAAAUUGACCAAUCAAUGGACAGUGGGGAUGGAAAGCUGUUCAAAGGGAUAUUCCGGUGUAAAUUUAAUCCGUGGUCACCAUAGCACCUAGUCAGUCUCGCCUCGAGAGAUUAAUUUUUGCGGACUUCCUGCUUCUCUAGUUCCAUCAACUUCAGCAACUACCUUACAAUAGCAAUACGCAACAGUCUACGUCUCCACGCACAAACCUCAACCAAAAAGCCACUCUAUAGCCACAAAUAAUGCUCAGAACAGCACGUAACUUCAUCAACAGUACAUAUAGGGUCCCAGCCAUAGUACUAGCCAUCAAACAUCUUUUUAGCUUUGCGUGAUUUCUUUAGCAAAGAGACUAAACACAACUCACCCACUCUCCUCCAGCAGCUGCUUGUUUGUGGGGGAUGACGAGUCGAUCACCAAGUGCUGCGGAUCAUUUCCUUGAAGUAAUAACCAUCAUAAUAAUCAUUUUGCACUGCAGACGUGGCAGUACUAAUAUCUUAGCAUCUCGCUCUGAUUGCAUUCCCAUAAGGUGAUAAUCAUAAAUGUUCUUCCUUGAGCUGCAAAACUCUGCUGCACUCAGUGAUCAACUCGUCAGGGCUCCCCCACAAACAAGCGACUGCUGGAGGAGAGUGGGUGAGUUGUGUUUGGUCACUUUGCUGAAGAAACCAGGCAAAGCUAAAAAUAUGUUUGGUGGCUAGUACUAUGGCCAGGACCCUAUAUGUACUGUUGAUGAAGUUCUGAGCAUUAUUUGUGGCUAUAGAGUGGAGUUUUGGUUGAGGUUUGUGUAUGAAGACAUAGACCACUAUGUAUUGCUAUUGUGCGGUCGUUGCUAAAGUUGGUAUAACCAGAGAAGCAAGCAGUCAGCAAAAUUAAUCUCUGGAGGGGGUGUCUAACUUGGUGUUACGGUAUGUUUGACCAUGGCUUAAACUUACACUGGAAUAUUCCUCUAAGGAUGCAGGCAAUUUGGAGAAUUUGUUUAUUUAAUUUAUCCCGAUUCAUUUUCAGCAUUUUCAAAGUAAGUAUAUUCUUUUUGGCUAGCCACUGUCUAUUUACAUUUUUAUAUGAACAUUUUUAAGAAUAGCCUCGCGCUUAGUGACUUGGUAGCUACAUGUUUAUUUACCAAUGCUGCAUAAAAAUACAGCCAAAUUUACUUUUAGUCAAUAAUGCAUAAGUCACUUUAUUGUUGGCAUAUCUGACAAACAGACCAGAUUGUUCAAGGCAUUUUCAAGCUGUUGAGUUGCUUCAAUGAAUAAGCUGAACGAACAGGUAUCUGGUUAAGUUAACAGUACAGUAACUUUAUCGUCCAAAUUUCGUAUUUCACUUUAUUUGGAUGUCAUCAUAUUGUUAGAUAUAGCACUUUUAAUAUAAACCACUGCAUGAAUAACUACUUUACAAGGCAUAAAUAGUAGCCUACUCGUAUUGAAAUUGUUUUGUUCUUUUUCAAAUAUGAUAGCAUUUAUCCUCUCAUUAUUGCCUGAAUUAAUGUGUUCAUAAAAUUGUACCCAUUUGAUGACAGCUCUGUAACUUACACGUGUUUCUCUGUUUUCUUAACAUUUCCCUUUAAAAAAAAAUCUAGACGGAACCUCACCUUAGGAGGCAUGCUGAUGGCAGCAUUGACCUGACUGACACUAUGGAGGCUGUCAGUGUAAAGGCCGCAAACAAGGGGAAGCCAUGGGCUUCACUGGAGUCUUUUUACCUGCACUUUUUAACUAAACGGAUUCAUCUCUGGUAAAUGCAAGAAUCAUACAGAAGUGAUUUUGUUGAAAUAUUAAAAUAUGAUAAAUAUUCAUUGAAUAUUUAUACUUAUUAUGGGACAAUUUAAUUGUAGAAUGAUCUGUUUAGUCUCAGCCUGUAGUAUUGGAUGGAAAAUGUAAUGCAGAAUAUUUAAGUUUUUCAUGUCGCCCCAAUGGAUGCGUCACCAGCAGAAAACAUUUGUCAAACAUCAUAUGACUCCACUUCACACAAUAUAAGGAUCCAUUCCUAUACAAAUGUUAAUUUUAUCUCUUUUCAAACAAGACCUAGGUUAUGUUUAUUUUUGCUACCCUAAGUUCUAAAACAAUAUCUUAUUUUAAGAUUAUGUUGGACCUGACAACAUGAAGGUGUAUGGAGUAGUGCAUGACCUGGCAGAUUUUUUGGUUGGCCUCAGGGACCACCGUGUAGCUUUGAGUGGAGCAGAGAGUGCCCAGAUCAUCUCCCAGUGGCAGGCAUUGCGGGAGUGUGAUAAGAGGAAAACUGUUUAUCCACCAAGUCAUCAAACCACCCCCAACCAGGGACGUUUCAGGGCCAUAAAGAAAAUUGUGGCACGAGGUGUGGAGAUCACCCAAAGGUGUGUUAAAUAAAGGAAACGCAGGGUCUUUAUUGUUUGACUUGAAAAAACAAAUGAAAAAAAAAAAAGACAAAAAAAAAACCCUACUGUUUGCUGAAGGGUUCGUGCUUUAUUUAUUACUUUACUUUUUCUUUUUUCAUGAACAUAUAGAAGAUGUACUAGAAACAAGUCACACAAUAUUUGUUUGAAUCAGGGGACACAAGUGGAUAUGGUAAAGAAAAGGUUUAUUAUGGCGGAUGAUACAUAAUAAAUUAGUGUUCUUAAGGUCAGUCAUUUGCAGUGUGGGGGUAGUACCCAAAAAAAUAUAUAUAUUACACAUUGCUAGUUCCUGACAGUCUUCUGCUUAAGAUGUAUCUUACACAACCUAACAGUACCGUAAAAGGAAACAGGAAAGGGAGCUCACUGGAACUGUUACUAAUUUUUAAUUGUAUUCAUUAUUCUUUGUCCCAUUCUAUUAUUAUUUUUGUUACUUAUGCUAUUGUCAUUUAUGUCACUGUUAUCAUUUUUGUUGCUGUUGCUUUAAUUAGUGUUGUAGGAGCAGCAGCACUUGUAUUUAUUAUUAUUUUUGUGUGUAUUCUUAUUAUUUUUCUAUGUUUUCCUAUAAUUGGUAUUGUUGCAGAUUAAAGUGUUGUUUUUCGAGUACUAUUAUAGUGUUAUUUAAAUGGUUAUUGAUGUUAUUAUUUUUCUUAUUAUUGUUACAAUUGGUUUCAUUUGCAUUAAAUAAUAUAAAAUUGGUUAAUGUUUUUGUGUUUUGACUUUUUCUAAUCAGAAUCAGAAUGCUUUGUUUAUCUCCGGGGGAAAUUUGGUCAUUACAGCAUUACACCUGCUCUUAAAAAUAUGAAUAUGAGUAGGAAUAUAGAAAUGGAGAUUUGUUAUAAUAAAUAAUAAAUCUCAAUGCUUGACUUCUUCUUUGUCUUUAUGUCAGAUAAACUAACUCACGAAAAAAAUGACCAUCUUUAAUGUAUACUAAAUACACAUUCAAUGCAUGAAUGAAUAACAAAUAUCAUCACGUAAUUCAAUUUUGCAGUAGACAUUAAUGCAUGUAGUCAGAGAAGCACAGGACUCAAACCUUCGGUCUCUGGUUGAAUGGUCAUAUAUAAGGAUGGUCUAGAGUCAAGACUAAUGUGCACAGUCUUUGGCGCAUCUUGGUGCCUCAGUGUAUGAAAAUACCAAAUUGGCGGUGCACCGGGCUGCACUGCACUAAAAUACCAGGCUGUGCUGCACAGCACAGGGUGCGCCACCCUGUGCCGUGCCACUGGUGGGCACGAAAAUAGAACCCAUGGUCUGUCUGACUUUUUGCUAAAUCAGCAGUAUGUAUCCCUUUCUUAUCUGCACCUGCACCCAUCUCAGGAAAGGUACAUCUCAGCGUUAUCCGUCAUGUUGUAAUGAAAACGCGGAUUGACAGAAUAUCUCGUCAGUGGUGGGGAAAUAUGUAAAUAUGAUGGGUGAGUUGAGACAGUACACCAAAUAUGAGUUGAGUGAGAGAAGGAGAAGAGUUGCAGGUGUGCCAGUAUAUUCUGGGGAUUCAAAAGAGAGCAUAAGUACCUGCAAAAUAUACAGUCAGUAAUCAAUAAAAAAAGCCUGCAGUAUUGUUUAAAAUUAUUGUUGCUCUGACAUGAGACAGUGAGAACUAUCGUGAGAACUAACUAUAAACCUUACACGUCAGAUGAGAUUUAUGGCUCUUUGAAGGGAGCUGGAUCUUGAGGAGCAGUUCCAUUCAAAGAGUCGUUCAAAAGACUGGCUCAUUGCUAUAUUUAUUUAUUAGGAGUCAACCAUGGGUGGGAAAAAUUCCGGAAGAUUGAUUACAAUUUCAUUUGACUUGUGUUUUCAUCGUAAAUAUUUCAAACUGUGGUGCCAUAUCCCCAUGCUUUGACAGGGAGAUCACUUUUUGGAAUUUUUUUCCUCACCUUAAAAAACUUUGUGGCACAAAAAAAAAAAAAAAAAUUUUUCAUUUGAGAACGGCUCACCACUAUGAAUCAGUCCUCAUUUUUCACUUAAAAGAGCCGUUCAAAUGACUGACUCGUUCAUGAACAUAACUUCUCUACUUUAGACAGUAUAUAGUAUACAUAGGGUUCUGUCCUCUGUUGUGUCUCUGAGAUACUGUCACUCUGUCUAUAUGAACUGGAAAUGGAAUUACAAUGCACUCUUUUAACAACAGAGAGCUUCUUUUUUUAACAUGUCAUUAACAUUAAAUCGUAUAUCUGAAAUCAUUGUUAUUAACAUAAUGAUUUGAUCAGCUUACCGUGCAUGUAAAGGGAAAUCAUUCGCACUGGAUAUGAAUCUACAUUUUUUGAUAUUUCACUGGCUGGCCUUGACAACCUAAUUGAACAUUAGUCUAAAGAACAUUGCCAGAGGAGAAAUGACGGCAUGCCAUCCUUGAGCACUCUGUCAGUUUCAUUGUGAACACUACUGUCUUCUCCCUGUUAUUUCCCUCUUUGGCUUCGAUUGAAAGGACCUUCAUUCCAAAGUGAAGAGCAUAAUUUAGUCUGCUCUAAUGACACAGAACUAUUCAGCAGGCUGCCCAUAAUUGUAUGACCAGGGCUGGGAGGAUAAUAGCCCCUCACCCUCACCCUCACCCUCUGAGCUUUUGUCCUGCACAUUUAGUGGCCUAAGAUCUCAAAAUAAUUAAAAGAAAUCUUUGAGAACAGACAAAACUAAAGCCACUAAGUUACAUAUUUACAUUGCCUAUGGUAAAUCCAUUAUCAAUCAAUAUUUUCAUUGAAGCUAUGAAGCUAAAUCCUUAUUCUGUGUGUGUGUGUGUGUGUGUGUGUGUGUGUGUGUGUGUGUGUGUGUGUGUGUGUGUGUGUGUGUGUGUGUGUGUGUGUGUGUGUGUGUGUGUGUGUGUGCGUUUGUAGGGGGGAGCGUGUCCUUGUGUGGCUAUCUUUAAUGUUCCUUGCCUAAUUUCUGUAAGUCAGAUGCUCAUAUUGGACGUUAAUGAGUACUCAGAAGGGUACAUCUUGCCUGUCAGAGGAAGAGAGAGCAGGGAAAUAGAGAACGAAGAGAAAAUGGUGCUGGUCUAAUGAACUUACAGCCUGCUGCACACUGUCACUCUCCUGCUUAAUGCUGUGACCAAGACAACACAGCCACAUUGUUGCUCCUGCUUUGUGUGCUAUAACCCAGGCAGCCAGCAUCCUAUUGAGAAUCAACAGCUCCUGUAACUUAAACUUGGUGGUAGUGCUGGCAAGCCAAGGCGGCUGCCAUUCUAAGUAUUGUUAGCUUUGACAGCAGCCUCUGACGAGGGCAUUGUGAAGAGAGCAACAGCAGACAUGACGUAGUGUAAUGUGGAGGCUGUACAAGUUCACCAAGAGAUGAUAAAGAUUUCUACUGAAAGCCCCAGCAGCUAUAAAAGAAGAGUUAAGUAAGGUCCAGCUGAAUAAAGAGAACAGAGGCCAUAUACUAGAUAGUUUGAGAAUCUGGAAGUGCAAGUACUAAGUUUUUAUCUUGUCAAAUGUUCACCCAUAAAUUUGUUGUGUUUUAUUCAGCCCUUAGUUUGGUAAGUAAUUACCUCCGUCAAGGAGGUUAUGUUUCCGGUAGUGUUGGUUUGUUUGUUUGUUUGUUUGUCUGUGAGCAACUUUACGGAGAAAGUAACAGACGGAUUGACCUGAAAUUUUCACCAGAGGUGCGUCUCAGCCCCAGGAGGAUCCCAUUACAUUUUGGUGGUGAUCCGGAUCGCCUUCUGGAUCCAGGAAUUUUUUGAAGGAUUCUUUAUCAUUGUGAGAUAGGGCAAAUUUUGGAAUUUUUGCAUUUAACUCUAUAAAAAUGUCCAGAGUCUUUAGUAAAAAAUGACACAAAAGGAUCUCAAUGAGUUUUAUGAGGUGUCAAAGGUUGAUCCUGAUCCAGACAAAAUUCCGGAUACUGUGAUCCAGAACACACAAAAAUAAGGGUGUUGUUGGAAUUUUCAAUGCUGAAAGAUAACCAAUGGGCGGCACAGUGGUGUAGAUAGGUGGCACAUUGGUGUAGUGGUUAGCACUGUCGCCUCACAGCCAGAAGCUCCUGGGUUCGAAUCUGGGUCAGGGCAUUUCUUGUUUUAGGAACAUUAUAAACAGUGAACAUACCAGUUUAAACACAAAUAAAAGUUAAUAAAAGACACGUAACAGUGAAAGUUUUGGUGUGAAUCACAAUAUAAGGGGGGGACAUGAGCUGCUUGGUGGAGGUCUGCGCUCUCCAAGUGCUUUUCUAGUUCUAUCAUGUAUUUGAUGCCUGCUUAACUUCCAUGCUUAAAAUGUUGGCAAAUCACAGUCAACUUCAAUGUUUUAGAUGACUUCUUAAUACCUGCGAAAACCAUUGUUAAAGCAAGGAUAACUAUGGUGCAGUCGCCUUGGUGUCCUUUAGAUCAAAUCAAAUCAAACUUUAUUUCUAAAGCAUGAUAAUAUGAUCUGAUAAUAAAGCAACCUUUCCCAUAACUUACACCCCCAUUACAGCCAUUUUUAUAGAGUUAAAUGCAAAAAUUCCAAAAUGUGCCCUAUCGCACAAUGAUAAAGAAUUCUUCAAAAAUUCCUGGAUCCAGAAGGUGAUCCGGAUCACCACCAAAAUGUAAAGGGAUCCUCCUGGGGCUGAGACGCACCUCUGGUGAAUAUUUCAGGUCAAUCUGUCUGUUACUUUCUCCGUAAAGUUGUUCACAGACAAACAAACUAACAAACAAACCAACGCUACCGAAAACAUAACCUCCUUGGCGAAGGUAACAACAUCUCAACACCAGGGCCUCUGUCACACCUCCAAUACCUCAGGCUUUUUUUUUUCAUAUUUUGACAGAAAGGAAACAGUCUCUUUGGGCCUGAUCUACUAAGAUCCCAAAUAGCAAACGCUAAAUUGUGUGUGCCAACUGAAAAAAUGCACAUACUAUUAGUGGGCCUGUUGCCGGUGAUCUAUAAUUGUGUGCGCAGUUGAUAACAGGAGCAUUAGUGGUGCGGACUGCCCUCUUUAUACGAGGACUUUGCGUGCGCUAUCGGCCGUCACCAUGGAGAGUUUGUGAGAGCAGAGUGAUCGUAGAUGAAAAAUGAAGCUUGAACCCAUGGAGUUGCACCUAUCAUUUUAGGGAAGCCAGCAACUGCAUAAAAGGCAAGGGAAGUUUAUUUGUAUAGCACCAUUUAUACACAAGGCCAUUCAAAGUGCUUUACAGAUGCAAGAAAAAAUAUAUCUGAAAUAAAAAAAAAAGAGAUUCAAACAAUUUAAAAUCAAUAAGACAGAGAUACAUUUUUGCGACUGUUUCGUGUUUGACCUAAUUCUUUAUCAAAACCAUCAUUUACUAGAAGAACACUUUUGUAAUGUUGCCUCCUUCUCCCAACAAUGACUUCAGUCAUUUAUGUGUAACGCUGUGCCAGUUUGCACGUGCCUUUCAAACGUGCUAAAUAUAGACGCAAAACAGUGACCGCUAUCGGUUUCCGGGUUUGAUAAAUCACAUUGCAGUUGGUAAAUGAUGCCAUUUGCAUCUGCUCCUCCCAGAAUUUUGCAUAGUCUGAUUAUCUACAUACAAUCUGCAUAUUUAUGAAGGCAAACACACUAAAGGGAUAGUGCGUGCUGUUUUGCUCAUUUGACAGACGCAAUCCUCGGUGCACCAGGUUAGUAGAUCAGCUUUGCACGUGUUUUUGCACAUGCAAACCUCUAGUAGAUCAGGCCCUAUGUAUUUAUGGAUUUUUUGGACCUUAUUAAUUUCAGGACUAAAGAAAAGAAAAACAAAAUGAUCACUAAUCGACUAGAAGCUCUAGAGCACAUGGAGGAAUAAAGAAAAAAAACAUGUAGCUUGUAGGAACAUUUCAUUUUAGGUUUUGGUCUUUUCUUUAUACUUGCUGACUGAAAGAGUCAAGUUAAAAUGAAGGCUGCACAGAAAUGCUUAUAAAAUGCAAAAGUGAUCUUUGAAAAAAAAAAGGGGGGGGGUUCAGGACAUUCAGAGUCGAAACAAGAAAGUUCACACCAAGGAUGUGAAAAUCAAUUGAAGCAGGAAACAAGGAAUUAUCACUUUUUGUCUAAAACGGUGUUCCUGUUGGAAACUGUAAUUUCUCAGUAAUCACAUGCUUUUAAGCUUUGAAACACCAGGUUGGCUGAUUUUUUUUUUCAUCUUAUUCUCUCACAGUCCUCUCGGGUAUAUUUUAACAUGCAAACCACAGAAUUACAUUAUAAUAAUCUGCCAUUUCAGACAUCAAUUAUCCUGUUACAUGUUGAUUUCCAUGUUAAAGCUCCUGCAAAGAACUUUCAGUACUGUAUGUGAAGAUUGUGAUUUUCCUCUCCAGACAAACAGGGCUUGUUUGACUCUUUCCUUGUUCCACAGCUGUUUCUGUACAUGCACAAGUGUUUUAGUCUUUUUUUUUUUCAAAAUUCACAUCCUGUCUUUUUUCUUAUUUAAAUUCAUUAGUGGUCAUCAUGAGUCUUAGUUGUAGGUAUUUAAUAAAAAAAGGAGCCGGUUGUUAUCACUUUACCUGAUAUUUAUUUGGUGGCGGCAGAAACGACUCAUUAGAAGUAAUAAGUCUGUAUAUUUACUUGCUGAGUAGAUUAUAAACAGGCAUCACAGCUGAUUUGAUUUAGUCUUUUUAUUAUAAGCUCUGACCACAAAGGACUGACAAAUCUAUGACAGGGUGAGUUUCUGGUUUGCAAAGUUUCCCUUCAGCUCUUGUUAACAACUAGUUUUUAGAACACCAAUCACAACCUUGACGGGCUUUACAAUGAAAAAUGAUGUAGACCUGUAGACCUAACAAGGACCUGAAAGAUCAGGGAAAUUAACAGAGAGGCAGUGAACCUCUGGAGAGAUGAAAGUAAAGUAUAUGUGCUGUGUGUGUGUGUGUGUGUGUGUGUGUGCGUGCGUGCGUGCGUGCGUGUGCGUGCGUGCGUUUGUUCUUGUCCAUUUUUAGGUCAUAAGAGCUCUUAUACCCGAGCAGUAAAACACAGAGAGCAAUGCUCCAUGACCCUGCCGGUCAUUUAAUCUACCUCCAAAUGUCACAGCAUCACAGACCUUUGUUGAGAUCAGCAAGCUGGGGCACCCUGUGUGUGUGUGUGUGUGUGUGUGUGUGUGUGUGUGUGUGUGUGUGUGUGUGUGUGUGUGUGUGUGUGUGUGUGUGUGUGUGUGUGUGUGUGUGUGUGUGUGUGAGCAAGAGAGAGGGGAAUAGAGAUUUUUUUUUCUCUUCUUGUAGCAGUUGCAGUAAAAAUCAUGAGCCGAACGAGAUAGCCGUCAUUAGACAAGUUGAAAGAUCUUAGAAACGAUGAGAGAGCAGGAAUUUCAACGUGGCGUAGCCCCCAGUAGAAAAAAGAAUCAACAGAGAAUUAUUCCAAGUCUCACACAAAGUCCAUAUCCUCAAUACAUUACAGACAAAUCGGUUAUGUUGUUGUUUUGUUGUCUUCUUCUUCUCAAGGACAAUAAUGAGGAGGGAGAGCCACGAGGGUCGGUGUGGUGCACAACCUUUACUUGCCAUUAAAGACUAAUAGAAACAGAAGAACAGCAGAGAGGUCAACACGGCUGAGGACAGAACAAAAAAACAGGACUGAGAAGAAACUGUAGGUGGGUUCCAGCAAAACAAGCCAUUAUCAUUCAUUUACUGGAUAUUUGUCAUUCACAACACAACCUGCAGCCAUUAUACUGUUGAGAUGUUUGACCUGAAUAACAGGCAAAUGCACAAUAUGAAAACAACUCACUGCUUCCUUCUUCUUUUAUUAGUUUUUUUUUUCUUCCCUCCCCCGAUACUUGACAUAUUCCUUCUUUGUCUUUUUUUGUACUGUGAUUCCAUCUCUCCCUCUUCAUUCUUUCUCUCUUUUCAACUUUAUUUCAAUUUCUUUGUCUCACUCCUUCUCAUUUUCCCCCUUUUUCCUCUCACUUUUUUCUUGCCAUAUCUUUGUCCCAUCUUUCCUUUUCCUUUUUUAUUUGCUGCAAUUUUUCACAUACCCCUUUUGGUCCUCUCUUUGUUUCAUUUCUGUGUUUUCCUAUUCAUCACUCUUUUGCUUAUUUCUCUUUAUACUCUUUAUUACUUUCUCUCAAAGACUCUUUUCCUCUCCCUUCCCUUCCUCACUUUUCGUUUCACCUUUCUUUCCCCUUCUCCACUUUCAUCUUCUUUAUCCUGCAGAGACCCAACUUUAUUGGCAGAGCUUUAGAAAACCAAUACCAGGAGAUUAAACCUGUGUCCUUUUACUCUGCUGUUAUUAAAACAGCUGCUUUGUCACAACUCCAGGGCUUUGUGUGUGUGUGUGUGUGUGUGUGUGUGUGUGUAGAGUAGCCAUGUUCAAACUUGUGUAUCUGUGUGUGAUUGUAUAUGCUUUAUUAUUUUCACCCUAAUCAGCAGCAGAAACUCUACAAGGUUUCUUUCUCUUUCUUUUUAUGUACCGUUCUGUUUCAUUUAGCUUUUCUUUUUUUUUUUCUUUUUUUUUACCACAAACCUACAAACCUGAGCGCCCUUAUCAUUGUGUUUUGAAAGGCCUUACCUACGAUGGUAAGUCAGCUUUUAUCCGCCAGCUGCUUUAACUCUUGAAGCUUUUGUCUGCAAAUAAAACUGCUUUAAUCUCAGCCAUCCUUGAUUUUUGAAUUGAACUCUGAUUUAACUUACAGGACUGUGUCACACAAUCAGGGGGUCAGGGCUAAGAAGUCAUAGGCUGUCAAACAAGUGUGACCUGUUGUGGAAGACUAGUGAUUUUGUUGUUGUACAUUUGUGAUCUUGACAACAAGUCACAGUCUACCUCAGUGAGUCAUACAUCCUCAGCUGUUUUGUGUUUUUAUUGACCCCCAGUGUUGUUCUCCUGCUCCAAUGGAUCUCCACUCGCCCAAACUCUUUGCCCAAAGAGGCAUUUAACCAUGGGUUGACCAGUAUUGUUUUUAAAUGCUAAUGUAACUACAAUUAUCAGAAGUUCAUGGAAAAACAGAUAUUUGCCGUAAAAAUGAAAAACCUGCUAUCAAAUUUAAGAGUUUGAAAUAUUACAAACUCCAACACAACUUUGCUUGAAAGCUGUUUGCAGAUGUUUAAAACGAAACGUUUGACAUCAUAUACAUGAGUAAACAAUUUAACAGUUGUACUUACAGUACAGUUACAUUACACCAUCAUCCAGCCAAUCAGAUAAUGUAGUGGUGGGACGUAAAACAAGACAAAAUUAGGGCAAGAAAAUAGACCCAAUAGGAAAAACCAUGAUGGCAGCAGAGCCAAUUAAGCACACUUUGAAUUGAUUUAUUAUUUAUUGGCCACCUGUAAAACAAGCAUAAACACCAAAAUGGCCUUGUGCCAAAUAUUGGUUGGGGCAGAUAAUUGAUGCAUCUGUCAAAGACACAGCAAGUAAUCAGUAAAACUGACUCAAAAUCAGUCCUGUUGAAGAAAUUUAGAAAAUUCAAACUCAAAUUUCCACACAACCUUACUUCGGUAUCUCCAGGCGUAUGUUGACAACAUCUGUGGUUCUGAUGCAUUUUCUUCCUCGGUCAUGUCUUCUUAUUCUUAUUCUUCACUUUCUGUCUCCACCCCUCAGAUGCAAAAUCAAGUCAAGGAAUUACUUUCUACCACUGCGCCCAUCUGUCUGGUCUCCUGGGCAAAGGUCCUGUGUUAUUUGGCUUUUUCAUGGUAACCGGCAGCUUUGACUUUCAUUUGGUUUUUUAUCUGUUUAACUAUCUGUCUAUGAAUUUCUUUAUCUACAUUAUGGGAAAAAAUUGAUAAAUUUCUUUAAUUGUUUCUGUUUCUUGCAAAAUGAUUUGUAUACAUUUUCAAGUGAACCUGAAAUAAAAUGAGUGAAUGUAG